GGACACGUGGCUCAGCUGGUUAGAGCGUUGCGUUCACAUCGCAGAGGUCACAGGUUCGAAUCCUGUCGUGUCCACCA
rnacentral:tRNA from 1 species